GACGAACGCUGGCGGCGUGCCUAAUACAUGCAAGUAGAACGCAGUUGCGAACGGGGGAGUAACGCGUAGGUAACCUUCCUCAUAGCGGGGGGUUACUAUUGGAAACGAUAGCUAAUACCGCAUACUUGGAGAUGGACCUGCGUUGUAUUAGCUAGUUGGUGAGGUAAAUGCUCACCAAGGCGACGAUACAUAGCCGAUCUGAGAGGGUGAUCGGCCACACUGGGACUGAGACACGGCCCAGACUCCUACGGGAGGCAGCAGUAGGGAAUAUUAGGCAAUGGACGGAAGGCUGACAGAGCAACGCCGCGUGAGUGAAGAAGGUUUUCGGAUCGUAAAACUCUGUUGUUAGAGAAGCGGUAUCUACCCAGAAAGCAACGGCUAACUACGUGCCAGCAGCCGCGGUAAUAC
rnacentral:rRNA from 1 species